GGGCUUUCUGGCUGCGACAUCUGUCACCCCAUUGAUCUCCAGAGUUGAUCUGGCUGAUCUGGCUGGCUAGGCGGGUGUCCCCCUCCGCCCAUGUGUGUCCCUCCAGAAGCUACGUGCUCGGUAGAAGAGGAUGAUCGUCCCCAGCACAGGAGGACCAUUCUUGGGGCAAGGGUAUAUGAGUGACUGUGCUCCCCUCCUACCAAUGGACCUCCCAGCAAGCUCUCAAGGACCACUGGGAGGAGAACGUAGGGUAGACAAGCUUCCAAGACCCCAGACACGUCCAAAUGAGGCGCUGCGGGUGGGAGUCUGCCUUUCUUA
ensembl:misc_RNA 7SK 7SK RNA